AUUGGUAUCGACAGGAAAGUAUGUCGGAUAGUUUGCAUGCCGGAGCACGAUUGUUCACUCCGUAAUAAAUGGCAAUCGACAACAAGUGGCAAUAGCUACGCUCUUGCUGCGUAAGUAGUACCAGGUAUUAUUUACCAGCUGUACGUGAUGCCGGCGCUACGUGCGCCCUCGCUCUAGCCUGACGAGCCCCGCAUUCGUACAUCAUCUAAAUUCAGGCUGGGAAACCGGAUUGGCCCGGUUCGGUUUCCGAGACUCCGGGCUGGGAGGAAGACACGGCUGCGUAACCCCAGCUACCCUUUCGCCGAGACAACAAACGGGUUACUAAGCAUGUAGAGGGCUGUUCGUCGCUUUGUCUGGACGCGAGUUCGACUCAGA
rnacentral:tmRNA from 1 species